rnacentral:lncRNA from 1 species
UCUUUACCUCUUUCCAGUUUUCGUGGGAUGGAGACACAUGGUCUGUGGACAGGUGGAGUCCAUGAGUCAAUGAGUGCUGUGACACUGCAGCCACAGAACAGCAGUGUUCUGACUGCCAGCUGCAGGGCAGUGCAGUGGAGCUGCCUGCACCCAGAUUGUCUGGUUGCUGAAGAAAAGCUGGUUUCUGGGGAGCUUUGCCAUCACCAGAUCUUCUGGGAGCUUCUACACGGCCAGUUGGCAAAUGCUGCUGGAAUCCAGAGAAGGGUUCCACUUUCUUUGGAUGGAUGUGGUACAGGGAAGCAUUCUAACUACAAGACCGAUCGGAUAAUGCAGAAAAGAAAGCACAGGAGACAAAUGGUUUAUGACACUCCGGUUACCUUUACUGUGCAAGGUUUAUCAUAUGCUCGGCUCAUCCAUCUGUGUCUCAGUCUCCGGUGGACUCAUGAGUUUCAUCAAGAAAACCAUUUUCAAACCAGCAGACCAAAACAGAUCGUUUUCAACUCCCAGCCUCAUCGAGGCUUUGCAGUAGUUUUGCCUCGUCUUUACGAUUUAUGGAUGCAACAAACACAGAGCAGACAGAAGUGGUCCAGAGAUCUCCCCAUCGCAGGGCGUGUGCCUCCAAACACCGCUCACUCAGGUACCGGCUCUGCAAUACUUGAAUAACUUUAUUCGGGUUAAU